ensembl:lncRNA CYP2B7P cytochrome P450 family 2 subfamily B member 7, pseudogene
AGCUAAUUUUUUGUAUUUUUAGUAGAGAUGGGAUUUUGCCAUGUUGGCCAGGCUCAUCUUGAACUCCUGAACUCAAGCAACCUGCCCACCUCAGUCUCCCAAAAUGCUGGGAUUACAGGUGUGAGCCACCAUGCCUGGCCUCAAAUGCCUCUUUAAAAUGAGAUUCAUUCAUCUUCUUCUCUGUGCAGAGAGAGUCUACAAGGAGAUUGAACAGGUGGUUGGCCCACAUCGCCCUCCAGCGCUUGAUGACCGAGCCAAAAUGCCAUACACAGAGGCAGUCAUCCGUGAGAUUCAGAGAUUUGCUGACCUUCUCCCCAUGGGUGUGCCCCACAUUGUCACCCAACACACCAGCUUCUGAGGGUACACCAUCCCCAAGGACACGGAAGUAUUUCUCAUCCUGAGCACUGCUCUCCGUGACCCACACUACUUUGAAAAACCAGACGCCUUCAAUCCUGACCACUUUCUGGAUGCCAAUGGGGCACUGAAAAAGAAUGAAGCUUUUAUCCCCUUCUCCUUAGGGAAGCGGAUUUGUCUUGGUGAAGGCAUUGCCCGUGCGGAAUUGUUCCUCUUCUUCACCACCAUCCUCCAGAACUUCUCCGUGGCCAGCCCCGUGGCUCCUGAAGACAUCGAUCUGACACCCCAGGAGUGUGGUGUGGGCAAAAUACCCCCAACAUACCAGAUCUGCUUCCUGCCCCGCUGAAGGGGCUGAGGGAAGGGGGUCAAAGGAUUCCAGGGUCAUUCAGUGUCCCCACCUCUGUAGAUAAUGGCUCUGACUCCCUGCAACUUCCUGCCUCUGAGAGACCUGCUGCAA